rnacentral:rRNA from 1 species
AACACAUGUCUUUUUGAUAAAAAUUUAAAGUCCGGUCUGCUCACUGAAUUAUUUUAAAGAGCCGCAGUAUAUUGACUGUGCAAAGGUAGCAUAAUCAAUAGUUUUUUAAUUGAAAACUAGAAUGAAAGAUUAGACGAAAAAUUAAUUUUCUUUAUUUUAAUAAAUUUAAUUUUAAAUUUAAGUGAAAAUGCUUAAAUAUAAUUAAAAGACGAGAAGACCCUAUAGAUUUUUAUUAUUGAAAUAAAUUUUUAAAUUUAAUUUAAUAAAAUAAUUUAAUUGGGGCGAUUUUAUAAUAUAAAUAACUUAAUUUUUUAAAACCAUAAAUAAUUGAAUGUUUGAUCUAAAAUUUUUAAAGGAAAGAUUAAAUUACCUUAGGGAUAACAGCGUAAUUUUAUUUAAGAGUUCAUAUCUAUAAUAAAGUUUGCGACCUCGAUGUUGAAUUAAGAUAAUAUAUUGGAGUAGAAAUUAAUAUAAUUAGUCUGUUCGACUAUUAAAUUCUUACGUGAUCUG